rnacentral:rRNA from 1 species
GACGAACGCUGGCGGCGUGCCUAAUACAUGCAAGUAGAACGCUGAAGGAGGAGCUUGCUUCUCCGGAUGAGUUGCGAACGGGUGAGUAACGCGUAGGUAACCUGCCUGGUAGCGGGGGAUAACUAUUGGAAACGAUAGCUAAUACCGCAUAAGAGUAGAUGUUGCAUGACAUUUGCUUAAAAGGUGCAAUUGCAUCACUACCAGAUGGACCUGCGUUGUAUUAGCUAGUUGGUGGGGUAACGGCUUACCAAGGCGACGAUACAUAGCCGACCUGAGAGGGGGAUCGGCCACACUGGGACUGGGACACGGCCCAGACUCCUUCGGGAGGCAGCAGUAGGGGAUCUUCGGCAAUGGACGGAAGUCUGACCGAGCAACGCCGCGUGAGUGAAGAAGGUUUUCGGAUCGUAAAGCUCUGUUGUAAGAGAAGAACGAGUGUGAGAGUGGAAAGUUCACACUGUGACGGUAUCUUACCAGAAAGGGACGGCUAACUACGUG